rnacentral:rRNA from 1 species
CAACGCCGCGUGGGUGAGGAAGGCCUUCGGUCGUAAAGCCUUUUGUUGGGGACGAAGUGGUGACGGUACCCGACGAAGAAGCCACGGCUAACUACGUGC